UCUACUUCUCGGCCUUUUGGCUAAGAUCAAGUGUAGUACUUACAGUGGCUGCUGCUGCAGCCGGCCGAAAAAAAAUUCCAAUACCCCUCGUCUUUGAAAUGGGUGGAGGAAGCAGCAUGUUAACAUGUAUUUCUGUCGGGGUUGUGUGAGUGUGUGUGCUUGUUUGUUCUAGUCAUCAGCCAAUCAAA